UUGAAUAAAAGCUUGUAUAUCAUCUGUGAUAUGGACAGAAAGUUUCUACCGGACGCCGUAAAUGUUCCGACUAUAAGUUUCAAUAA
rnacentral:ncRNA from 1 species